CACGAUUCUUUGUUUCAGUUCGAAGACUGCACACUUCAAUGACAACCUUUUGUCGUUUCAGUUCAAGCUCGAUGUCUGUGAUCUCCCGCUCAACUGAACCAACGAUGCGUUCUUGGAGAUACAAGGUUCGUUACACAGACCACGGCAUCUAUGUUUACACUGUAGUAGUUUACGACACGGCUCGUCGCAGCGUGGCCUAUCGCAGAUUUCCCCACACUUCAUGCUACACUUCAAGUGCUUACACAUCCAUUCGCACUGAUGAGUACAAGGAACGCAAGGCUCACCGCAUUUCUUUCUGCAUUCACUGUGUUUGCACUUGGUUUCACACUUGUUCGUGCAUGGCGGACAAGUGAUGGUGCAGUUGGCGCGACACUCAUGGCCACAGACAAGCACUCUCCCACAUGUUUUCUUGCAUCGUCGAUGGACUCUUCCUUGCAGACACUCACCACAACUCCCUGAGCACUCAUGACCACAGCUAGGAUCGCCGCCACAAGGACCGCGACAGUCAAGAGGACUAGCUGAACAAGCUAUUGUAACUUCAUGUCCACAAGGCCAGUCGCUUCGCUUCACAAGCUCCUUACAUGAUGACGUGCAUGGUUCGCCACACCGUGCUUGGCAUCGAUGACCACAUUUGAGUAAUUUCGGGCAUCUUUCAUCACACUUCACAUGGUUGGGAUUGUCACUGCAUCGGGCAUUCUUCUUGACAUGGUUACACGGAAGAGUCAUCUCAACGCGAUAAAGACAUUUUGGCUCACAAUCUUGCCCACAAAUAUUGCGACAUAUGUGACCCUUUCUGCAGCCAUGUAUUAUCUUGCUACAAGGGAUGGCAUAGAAGCGUACAGGCAUGUCCACAGUCAAGUCGAUACGCACAGCGUAGUCUACAUCCUCCAUAUGGUACCUUUUCCUGGAAAUCCUCGGGAUCUUUCACCGCAACCUGGAAAACAAAGCCAUGGAAAUACGUUGUUUAGUAAAAAAAAAUACGAACCAAAGGCAGGAAUUAUUAGAUCAUUGACGUCUGACAUAUACAGCUAUUUCAAAAAAGAGGAAGUUCUUUUCCAAGUCUGCCAUUUUUCCUUACAUCACCAACAACCUUCUUCCAAAUUCCACUCUUCCCUGACAGCAGAUCAAAGUUCCCAAUGACGUACAGACCCAUACGAGCACGUGACAAAGCUACGCAUGCUCUGUUGAUGUCAUUGACGAAUCCCACGUGACCAGUGUCGUUGCUACGCACCAAGGAUAACAGGAUAAUGUCAUUCUCUUCUCCCUGGUAGUUGUCAAUGGUCGACAGGCGUAUCUAAAUUUAUGAGACGUGGAAAAAGACAUCGAGUGCUGAACCGUCGUAUGGCAGCGCGAAGCAUUUACGGCUACGCCGGAGAUUUCGACCCCGACACCGCUAUCCAAAGAUUUACAGACUGAUCAGGAAGCUCGACCGAAGCCUAAGGGAGAGGUUAGUCGGCCUCUAGACCGUAAAUGAGUAACCCCUUGCAAUGACCAGUAUGCCCAAUAUGACACUUGUUUCACUGAUGACUUUGUACGCAUGGACGCUCUCUUCCAUGUGGGACCCCUAUUUUGAGAAUUAGCCGUAACGUUAUUAGUGAAAACAUUCUAGAACCACUCUAACGGCUUAUUUCAUAUUUAGGCUAAAACAAAAUGUACCUCGUUUGUCUAUAUUGUGAGAACUGCUUGUAACGUUUCAAAUUAAGGAAUAUAAAACGCGCGCGCAUGUCU